GCACAGAGCAGGGCAGAAAACGCAGCAACGGCGCCCUAACCUCACGUCUCGCGCCCCGACACCUUCUCCGGCAUCCCUGAGAGCGGAGACCCUCCUGUGACCUCCCUGAGCAGAACCAGCGAUCCGCCGGCGACGACCCUCUUCUCCUACUCCUCCGAGCCCUCGCCCUCUCUCAAAAUCCUCGACCUCUGCCGCCGUUAGACCUCCCUGAGCAGAACCCAGCGAUCCGCCGACGACGACCCUCUUCUCCUACUCCUCCGAGCCCUCGACCUCUGCCGACCUUAGGGCUUAUUUGCAAUAAAAUGAAAGAAAAAUCAUGACAGCCGGCUCAUCAUCAGCAUCAUCUUUCACUCGACGACACAUGAACGACGAGCAAUGUGAAGCUCCCCACAUAUUAUGUUAUCGUGGGUUACGAGCUAUUCUCCAGACAUCAUGGACGGAAUCCAACCCAGGACGGCGAUUUUUUUCAUGUCCAAAUUUUAGAGUAAGUUUUCAUUAUACCAAUAUGGUGUUGUGAGUUUAUUAAUUAUUGAGUUUUGAUUAAGUUUAUUUGAAAUUCAAGAAAGGGAAUGUGGCUUUUUCUUAUGGCAUGACCCAGAACUGUUAGAGAGAAGUAAGACAAUUAUUAAUGAGUUGAAGAGGAAUAAUAAAAAUUAAAGUUACAGAUUAGUAAAUUGGAGAAAAGUAUUAGCUACAAGGGUGCUGUUGAAUACAAUGAUGUUCUUGAUGAUGGGAAUAACAAUCAUGUAAUUAUGUAGUUCAAUGACGAAAUAUAUUCAUUGAAUAGGAAAUUUGCAGUUGCUAUCGUUGUAGUUAUAUGUACCUAGAUUGUGAUGAUGUGGAUGUGGUUGAUGUAACUUAUUUUGUGAUGUAACUUGACAUUUGGAUGUAACUCUAAGUGAUGUAACUUGUUUUGUUAUACAAAGUGAACUAGUUCUGUUAUGAUUUUUA